CUACCAUGCAAGUCGACGAUGAACCGGUUUCGGCCGGGGAUUAGUGGCGAACGGGUGAGUAACAUGUGGGCRAUCUGCCCUGCACUCUGGGAUAAGCCCGGGAAACUGGGUCUAAUACCGGAUACGACACAUGAGCGCAUGCUCGUGUGUGGAAAGUUCCGGCGGUGCAGGAUGAGCCCGCGGCCUAUCAGUUUGUUGGUGGGGUAGUGGCCUACCAAGACGACGACGGGUAGCCGGCCUGAGAGGGUGACCGGCCACACUGGGACUGAGACACGGCCCAGACUCCUACGGGAGGCAGCAGUGGGGAAUAUUGCACAAUGGGCGAAAGCCUGAUGCAGCGACGCCGCGUGAGGGAUGACGGCCUUCGGGUUGUAAACCUCUUUCAGCAGGGAAGAAGCGAAAGUGACGGUACCUGCAGAAGAAGCACCGGCUAACUACAUGCCAGCAGCCGCGGUAAUACGUAGGGUGCAAGCGUUGUCCGGAAUUAUUGGGCGUAAAGAGCUCGUAGGCGGCCUGUCGCGUCGAUUGUGAAAGCCCAGGGCUUAACCCUGGGUCUGCAGUCGAUACGGGCAGGCUAGAGUUCGGUAGGGGAGAUCGGAAUUCCUGGUGUAGCGGUGAAAUGCGCAGAUAUCAGGAGGAACACCGGUGUCUAAGGCGGAUCUCUGGUCCGAUACUGACGCUGAUGAGCGAAUGCUUGCGCAGCGAACAGGAUUAGAUACCCUGGUAGUCCACGCCGUACA
rnacentral:rRNA from 1 species